CAAACCAAAAGAGAAGAGAAACCAAGGAAGAACAAACCCUAGGUGGGGAAAAUCAAAGAGAAAGUGUUGGAAUUCAAGGAUUUGAUCAAGCAAAGGUAAAAUUUCUUUGAUUUUGCUAGUGAUUUACCUUACCCAUGCAUUUCUCCUUAAUUUCCAUGGUUGGAUUGUAUGUUUUCAUGGGGAAAUCAUGGCUGGCCGAAUGGGUGUGGUGAGAGAAAUGAUGUUGAAAUUGUUUGAUUUUGAGUUAUGUUGGUGUUUAGAGUUAGUUAAGCAUGUUUAGAAACAAAACAAUAAGAAAAGAAUCUAUUUUUCCCAUGAACCUUCAAUGGCUGAACCCUAUGUGAAGUGUAGAAGUAAUGAAUUGAUUUUGUGAUCAAGUGAAUUGGUUGAAAAUUUGAUGAAAUGAUGAUUUAUGGUGAGAAAAUGGAAUGGGAAAAUUUUUAGUGAUAGUUCACCACAAUGGCCGAAAUUUUCAAGAAGAAUUGUGAGGGUUGUUAGGCUGAAUUUUAGAUUAUUGUAAUUGUAUUUAGUGAAUUGAAAUAUUAGAAAUGAAAUGGAGCAAUUUGGAGCCAAAUCGGACACAAUUGUCAUUUAAUUGGGUAAUAGGCCGAAUUAGGUCAGUACCGCAUUUAAGCGGUAGUCGGAUAAGUUGCAUAUCAUAUCAUGCAUAUACACCCAGCCUGAAUUGAUUUUAUAAUGGUCAAGCAUUAAUGUGGUGAAUUAUGUAUUGUACAUUGUGGAUAGAUGGUGAGCAAAUUACACUAGUAAAAGUACAGAGAUUGUGCUUGAAGAUUGGGAUUAGGAGUACAUUGACUCCUAGAACUGUGAGUAAACUUAUUAUCGUCUUAAUUAUCUAGAGUAGUUUUAUACAAUUGUGUGAUUUUAUAAAAAAUGGGUUUAAAUGGUAAAUUGCUAUGUUUUAGGAGAAAUUGUGAUUUUAUAAAUUUUCUGAAAAAUUGAAUAUUGGUUUUGAAAAUAGAGUAAUUGGAGACUGCCUGCUUGUGUUAUAAAUUGUGUUUUAAAUUAUAUGGCUUAUAGCAAUAUGUGAGCAUGAAUGGCAAAGUCGGUAUUUGUAUCAAAAUUAUAUAUACUAUGUAUUCAGCCUUGAGAGGCUAGAUUGCGAUAAAUUGCCAUGUCAUGUAGAUAAAGAUUUUAUAAAUUAGGUGGUAGAUAAAAUAAUCCAUAAUCCCUGCAGUGGAGGUUUUGUGGACCAGCCUAAGAGAGGGGGCACAGAAUCAGAUAUACCUUACCUAGAUCAGAGAGUCGUGUGAAGGGUUUCUCUAGACAUAAAGUUUGAGUGCACUUCACGUGGACCACCGAGUAAGAGUGAGACUCAACCAACGCCAAGGCAUGGCUAGAAUUUCGGAUGUAAAGACAUUUAAUAGCCUUGGUGGUCUCGGUUAGAUGCCUAGGCCAAGGCAUUCCUGGGAAUGAUUUUUGGCAGGAGCCAAGUUUUGUGAGAUAUAUAAGCCACGUUGAUCAAUUGAGUAAACUGAAUAUUCAUGUUAUGAAACAUAUAUUGGAAAAGAAUAUUUUAAUUCGUCUCCAUUUACUCGCCUUUAGAUAGUUUAGAUGGUGUUUGUUUACUCACUGGGAUUUUAUAAUUUCACCACCCCCAUUUCCUCACAUUUCAAACUUGGGGAAUUCCACAGUUAGCUGACUUUGACAAAGACCUUCAUUUGGACUUGAAUCGGCAAAAGCUGUAGGUUUUCAGCUUCUGAUGCAUUUUGGUUAGAUGUGGGCCCACAUGUCGCUGUAAAAGUAAUUUUAUGCUUUGGUUAUUUGCUUUAUAGUAUGUAUGAAUAUAAUUAACUUUUACGCUAUAAGAAUUAUUUACUGAUAGCUUUAUAAAAAUUAUUUUACAAGAAAAUAGUUUAUUUUAUUGAAUAUUUUUAUUAUACUCAAAUGAUCAAUUUUCACUUCAAAUGAAUGUUUUAGAUACUUAAUUUGUUUUUAAAUCACUAAAUAUAUAUUUUCUGCUUACCUACUACAUUUUUAGCAAGUUUUGAGAUUUUCGACGAAAAAUGACGAAAAUGCCCUUGUGAGCCAAAAAACAAUCUGUUAUGUUCUGAUUUGAAAAUGACUUGUAAUCCUUCGAAUUAUGAUAUUUGAUAACUAUUGCUCACUGGGGAAGUACGAAAGCUGAUACGAGAGUCUUGCGAGGUUUAGAUCGGCAUUUGGGGUGAAGAAUGUUUGUAGAGGCUUCGCGGCGGUUGUCAUGGGCCCAAUGGGGAGUUCUGGGUUGUGACACCUUUUUUAUCUCUGAUUUCGAGAUCUAAUUCUUGAAGCAAUAGAAUCCAUCAUAUCAAUCUUGGCUUGGCAUCUUUCUUACCAAUCAAGUACUUAAUUGUAGCAUGGUUAAUGUAGACAAUAGCUUUAGUGCCAACUAAGUAUGCACGAAACUUAUCAAAUGCAUAAAUAAAAGCUAAUAAUUCUUUUUCAGUGGUAGUAUAAUGCAUCUAAGUUUCAGUCAAUGUCUUACUAGCAUAAUAUAUAUAAUGAAAUUUUUUUCCUUUUCUCUGACCUAACACUGCACCUAUAGCAUAGUCACGAGCAUCACACAUAAGCUCAAAUGGAAGCGUCCAAUUAGGAACUAUAAUGAUGGGUACAGAUACUAAUUUCUUUUUCAAUUCUACAAAUGUUGUAUGACAUACAUCAUCAAACUUAAAGGAAUCAUCCAUUUCCAACAAGUUACACAAAGGUUUGGAAAUUUUGGCAAUGUCUUUGAUAAACCUCCUGUCAAAACCUACAUGACUAAGAAAACUUCUAAUACCUUUUAUCGAAGAAGGUGACUGAAGUUUCUCAAUUGUCUCUAUCUUGGCUUUGGCUACGUUUAAUCCUUUGCUUGAAACCUUAUGACCAAGGACAAUGCCUUCUUGCACCAUGAAGUAGCCUCUAUCCUAAUUCAACAUAAGGGUCAUUUCUUCACACCUUCUCAAUACCUUGUCAAGAUUCAACAAACACUCAUCAAAAUUGUUACAAAACACAAAGAAAUAAUCCAUAAAUACCUCCAAGAUCUAUUCCACCAUAUCAAAGAAGAUGGCCAUCAUGCAUCUUUGAGAAGUUGCUAAAGCAUUGCAUAGUCCAAAUGGCAUACUUUUGAAGGCGAAAGUACCAUAACGGCAUGUAAAGGUGGUCUUUUCUUAAUCCUCCAAAACUAUAACAAUCUGAUUGUAUCUUGAACACCAAAAAAAAAAUAAUAAUAAAACUCCUUGCCAACCAACCUAUCUAACAUGUGACCAAUAAAUGGCAAAGGAAAAUGAUUUUUUCUCGUGGCCUUAUUAAGCUUCCGAUAGUCCAUAUACACUUUCCAUCUAGUCAUUGUCCUUUGAGGAAUGAGUUCAUUGUUCUCAUUUUCUACCACAGUCAUCCCACCUUUUUUCGAAACACAUUGAACCAGAUUUACCCAUGCACUAUCUGAUAUAAGAUAAAUGAUGCCAACAUCCAACCAUUUGAAGAUCUCUUUCUUCACCACCUCUUUAAUAAUCGGAUUGAGUCUUUUAUUGUGCUCAAUGGUGGCUAUGUGAUCUCCAACAGAAUCUUAUGCAUACAUAUCAAAAGACUAAUUCCCUUUAUGUUUGCAGUUGUCCAUCCCAAUGCUUUCUUGUGCUCUUUUAAACCUUUCAAAAACUUAACUUCCUGCAUGUUAGUAAGAAUAGAAGAAAUAAUCACAAUAAGAGUAAAAGAGUUAACAUGAUAUGCAUACCUUAAGUGAUUUGGCAAAAGUUUAAGUUCCAACUUAGGUGGCUCUUCAAUAGAUGGCUUUUGUUGAUGAAGAUGAAAAAGAUAAGAAAUCUAGUGUCUCAAAUUGUGUUCUCAAGGCACGGGAUAGGUCAUCCAAUAAAUUUACACAUUCAAUGACAUCAUCAUCAAGUUUCUCAGAAUCAGUUACUAAGGAAGCUUUAAGAGGGUCAUUAGGGUGGUUUUCCCUAAGCACUCUACUUGUGACUUUAUCAACUACACUUACUACAAAACACUCAUCAUGAUCAUUAUGAAACUUCAAAGCUUUAAAAAUAUUGAAAGUUACCUCUUGAUCUUGCACUCUCAAGGUAAGCUCUCUUUUCUCCACAUCAAUAAGUGCUCUAGCAGUGCGUAAGAAAGGUCUCUUGAGGAUAAUUGGGACUUCUCUAUCCUCCUCCAUAUUGAGAACAAUGAAAUCAGUCAGAAAGAUAAACUUGUCAACUUUCACUAGCACAUCUUCAACAAUACCUCUCGGAUAUGUGAGAGUUCAAUUAGUAAGUUGUAAAGUUACAGUGGUAGGCUUAAUAUGCCCUAAACCCAAUUUAUUGUAGAUAAACAAAGGCAUCAAAUUAAUACUAGCUCCCAUAUCACUCAAAGCAUUGGCAAAAAAUAAUGCAACAAUAGUGCAUGGAAUAGUAAAGCUACCAAGAUUCUUAAGCUUAAAAGAAAGCUUGUUUUGAAUAAUUGCACUGCACACCUUAGUGAGUGCCACUGUCUCAAACUCACCCAGCCUUUUUUUCUUAGACAAGAUAUCUUUUAGAAAUUUUGCAUACAAAGGCAUUUGCUCUAAAGCCUCUACACAAGGAAUAUUGAUGUGAAGCUUUGCAAACAUCUCUAUAAAUUUCUAAAACUGGCUUUUGUUUCUUGAAGUGUUAAGGAAAAGGUGAUGGUGGUAGAGUUGCCUUUACUUCCUUUUCUUGACGUUGCUCACUAUAACUUGCAAUCUGUGUCUCACUCUCAAUUGUUUUACCUUUUUGUUCAACUUGCUUUGAGUUGCUUUCAACUUCCUUACCACUUCUUAAGGUGAUGGUUUUGACAUGUUCCUUACUUUCUUUCUUUGAAUUUGCCUCUGUAUCACUAAGUAAGGUCCCAUAGGCUCUAUUCUUUAUCGUGUUGGCGAGUUAACCUACUUGGGUUUCAAAGUUCCUUAACGAGGCGACCUAACUAUAUAUAAAGGAGUCGAUCAUGGCCAUGUACUGCAUCAUCAAUUCCUCCAUAGAUGGUUUCUUUUAUGGAAUUGGAGCUUUUUCUUGUUGUUGGAAUCCAAGACGAUUAUUCAGUCUUAGAGCUAUAGAUGAUCCUUGAUUAUUACCCCAAGAGAAGUUUGGAUGGUUCCUCCACCCAAGGUUAUAAGUGUUGGAGUAAAGGUCGUUCUGUUGUCUAUUCCUCACAAACUAAACUAUCUCUGUGCUACUUGGACACUUAUUACUAGCAUGCCCAUCUCCACAAUACUUACAAACUACAAAAGGAAUAUGAAUUGAGUUAGCACCAAAUGAAUCAAGUUGUUUUGUUAGAGCUACUUCUUAUGCUAUUAAUGUUGAAAUGGUGUCCAACUCAUGAAUUCUAGCUACUCUCCUAUGCAUUGAUUGUUCUAAUGGCCACUGGUAAUUGUUCGAUGGCAUCUCCUCCAACAAGUCGUAUGCCUCAUCAAUUGACUUUGCCAUGAAAGCUCUUCUCGCAGCAGCAUCAAUAGUGGUUCACACCUGACCACUCAAUCCAUUAUAGAACAUUUGCACUUGAACCACUUUGGAAUACCAUGAUGAAGGCAACGCCUAUAUAGAUUUUUGUAUCUCUCACCAGGUGUCAUACAACGAUUUCGCAUUUAACUGCAUGAAUGAUGUGAUAUCAUUCCUUAUCUUUGCUAUCUUGUCUAGAGGAAAGAAUUUGGUAAGGAACUUCUGAUCAAGGUCAUCCCUUGUUGUAAUGGAUCCAGUAUGAAGUGAAUUUAGCCACACUUUUGCUUUAUCCCUCAAUGAAAAAGGGAAAAGUCUUAAAUGAAUCACAUCAUCUAUGACUUUAUUGUGUUUAAAGGUGUCACAUAUCUCUAGAAAGUUCAAGAUGUGGGCAUUUAGAUCAUCAUUUGGAAGACCUCCAAAUUGGACCGAAGUCUAGAUCUUGGUGAUGAUGGCCAACUUAAUUUCAAAAUUGUUGGUUUAAAUAAUUAGCUUAUGAAUGCUUGAAGGAAACAUUUGUACCAAUGUAACAACAUAAUCCCUUAAGCAACAAUUCUCUUCCACUACUCUUUCUUGGAUUUGUUGCUCACCUUGUCAAUCAGCUAUUAU
rnacentral:lncRNA from 1 species